GAGAGAAAGAGAGUUUUAAGAGAUUCGCUGAGAAUGAAUUGGCUGUGAGAAUUUUCAUUCCAAAAUGGCGGCCUCGCUACUGAAGCGCCACCUAGUGGCUGUUGCCAAAAAAGCAUCAGAGUUUCGCCUCUUGUGCUUACAGUCGUUUGUGGGUGUAGAGCUACGCCUGAACAGCAGGUGAUGCUGUAUCAUCCUGCAGGAGUCUGAAUCUCUACUGCAGUGCUGAGGAAGAGACGUCACAAGCUUUUAGAUCAGCGCGCAUAGCACGAGCAGCCAUUUCAUUCCAGCACGUGUAUGCAGUCGGACCUCACUUACAUUCUGGCGAAAUUGCAUUUAACAUUUUAUUUUUUGUAUUUUAACAGUACUUAUGUAAACUUUAACAUGUGUUUAGUUAAAACACAUUAGUGAUUAUUUACUAGUUUAACUAUUAGCGUUUCUUGAAGUGUGCGUCUGAUCAGAGAACGAGAACGUGGAGGGACCAGAAAACGUGGACGCCACGAGGCCGAUGCUGUCUUCACUUGUUAACUUGCAUUAUUUUAAUAACACUUAUAUAAAUACCUUUUUUUGUUUACUGUGUGACCCUUAACAUUUCAGUUUGUGUGUAAUAAACAAUUAUAUUGGACUUAA